rnacentral:lncRNA from 1 species
UUCCCUGUCUUAGUUUAUUAUUUCCAAUAGAAGGAUAAUUAGAGUUUUCACUGAGCAGCAAGGAACAUGUUUUUCAGGUAGCCUACAUGAGCAGCAAGGAACAUGUUUUUCAGGUAGCCUACAUUAUAUAGUCUAAGAAUCUCAAGUCUUAAAAGAACUCAUGGGACUAAUUUUAUCAAUAGCUAUGUUCAUAAAAUUCUGCAGGAGAGUUUUAAGUAGAUUUUCUAGAUUCUUUAACCUCUUAGCAUUAAGGAAUAUGAAAACAGCAAAUGAAUAGUGCUCUGUUCUGUGACUAAUAUGAUUCAUGAUUUGGCAUGUUCAUAUUAUCUUUAGUAUCCAGGGUGAGAUUUAGAAGGAGCCACUUACGUCUUUUUUUUUUUUUUUAAAGUUAGAUGAGUAGAAAAGUCAUAAACAUAUCAUUUCUGUAUUUACCACUCCUUGCUCAGAUUCUACGUAUAACUUCGACUGGCAGAUGUAUUGCUAGGAUGAAAGGCUAGAAAAUAAGUUCAUGGUUUGACUUAAUACUUAUUUUUGCGAUUGCCAGCUGACUUUCUUUGUCAUUGAAGACAAAACAUUUCAAGAUAUAAAGUUGUUCAACGCCACAUAGAGACUGAAGCAAAUGUAGGUAGGUAGUAAAGGCAUGUGCACAGAAACAUGGAGCCAAGAAACCAAAAUUAUGAUUAGUGACACAACGAAGUGAUUCUUUUUAAUAGACCCUGUUAGCCAUGUGAGUAGUACAGGGCAGUGGUUCUCAAAACUAAUCAGAAUCACUUGGAGAAGGCUUUAUUUAAACAGGUGCCAUACCCUUACCCUAAGAGGCUUAGAUCUUAGUAGUUCUGAGGCAGGCAUUUCUAUUAGGUCAGGUUCCUAAGUGAUGCUGAUGCUGAUCUUACUGGUCCAAAGAUUAUACUUCGGAAGUCACUGUUUUAAGGGGAAAAGAAGAAAAUGUAGAUGUGGGAGCAGGUGUGAGAAAACAUGUUCACCAGAUAAGUUGAACGUAUAUAAUUAUAUCAAGAAAAUUUUGUUUUAUAUUAUUGGUUCUCAAAAUGAUCUAAAAAUUUGAGAUUGAGGAACAUUGUUUUAAACAAAAGCAAUAACUUGAAAGUUUGGUUUCACAAGUAAUAUGUUGCAAAUGAAAAUUGUUGCUAGUUAAAGGAAGGUAUGGAUACUGAUUUGUAUAGCGACUUAGCUUUUUCCAAUGUCACCCAGCUUUAUCUGAUGACUCAGUACGGUAACAAGAAAGUUGGGCAGGGCUGGGGAUGUGGCUCAAGCAGUAGCGCACUUGCCUGGCAUGCGUGCGGCCCGGGUUCGAUCCUCAGCACCACAUACAACAAAGAUGUUGUGUCCGCCGAAAACUAAAAAAUAAAUAUUAAAAUUCUCUCUCUCUCUCUCUCACUCUCUCUUUAAAAAAAAAAAGAAAGUUGGGCAGGUUGCCAAAUAAAAAUAGUGUUUCCUUUAGUAGAGUUCUUACUCAGUCUCAGGUUAUAAGUACAUUAUGAGGAUUAUAUCAUUUAAUCAACACAAGAACCCCAUUUUGCAAAUGAGCAGACUGGGUUCCAGAAAGGAUAAGAAAUUUCCCUAUAGUUAUGCAAUACUGGUGAAGCUGGGAUUUGAACUCAGGUAAACUAACUCUAGAGCUUGUGCACUUAACCUGAAGUUAUAUGGUCUUCCUGAACUUCAUAGCCUACUUAGGAUGCAGUGGAGAAUAUGAGGUGCACUCAGGUGUGGUAGUUGACUGUGAGACUAUCUCAGUGUUAGCUACUAUAUGAAUAGUGAAACAAACUUGCAAAUAAAUUUUAACUCCUGUUUUCACUGGGGGUCUGCCACAUGCAUUAGGAACUUUGCUACAAUAGGCAUUGCAAAGCAAAGUCAUCAGGAAAAACAAAAUAAAACAAACAAAAAACCUAGCUUGAAGAAUUUAGGUCAAAUUUAAUCAGUUUUUCAGUAUUCACAGAUUUUCCACCUGAAUUGGGCUACUGUGAGGAAUUAUAGAUGCUAUUUCUCUAGAGCCCUUUAAAAAGAGCAGGGAGAAAGUGUUACUUUUUCAGGUAUCCUAUUAGAGUGCAUUACAAAGUCAAGUUUAUGAUUUUCCACUUAGAUUCCUAACCUUCCUUAAAAAGCGGGAAGGUCAUCAGGACCUCCCAGUCUUUAGGCCUCACUAAUGAAAUUGUUUGCCUCAUUAAUGUAGUAAAAAAAUAUUUUGUCCACUCCUGUUGUGUUUCUGAUACUAUUUUCAGAGUCCAGGAUAUAGGAAUGAAUGAAACAGCCCAUGGAGCCUGUAUUCUAGUAAGAGGAGACAGGCAAAAGCCAAGUAAGUAAACAUACUAUACAUUAGAAGAGGUAAGUAAUAUAAAGAAAAUUAAAACAGCAAUAGAAGAAGGUGUUGGGGUAGGCUAGCCACCCAUAUAUAUCCAAAUUCUGAUCCCUGGAACCUGUGAAGAUGUUAUGUUGUGAAGCAAGGAGAAAUUAUGGUUGCAAAUGGAAUUAAGGCUACUAAUAAGCUGUUCCUAAAGUAAGAAAAUAAUCCUGGAUUAUCCAAGUAGCCCAACAUAAAACAAGGGCCUUUAAAUAUAGACAGGGAGCUGGAGAGUCAAUGUCAAAGUAACUCUGUGAGAAAGGUUCAACUCCUUGUUCAUGACUUUGAAGAUAGAGGCAGAGAGCCAUAAACCAAGAAAUUUGAACAGUCACUAGAAAGUGGAAAAGGCAAGGAAAUAUCCAUUCUCUUCUCCAGCCUCAGAAAGGAAACAGGCCUGCUGACACCUGCAUUUUAAUCUAGUGAAAUCCACAUCAGACUUUAACCUCCAGAACUAUAAGAUAAUAAAUUAAGAUUGUUUUAAACCACUAAAUUUCUGGUAAUUUAUUAGAGCAUCAAUAGGAAACUGUACUAGGAUUCUGCAGAGAAAGAAAGUCAAUAGGAUAUGAAUGUGUAAAGAUUUAUUAUAAGGACUUGGCUCACAUGAUUGGAGGCUAAGAAUUCCCAAGGUCUGCAGUUGAGAAGCUGGGGAACCCACAGGAGCUAGUAGUGUUCCAAUAUGAGUCUAAAGACCAGAGAAGCAGGAAAACUGAUGGUAUAACAUCCAGUCCAAACAUUGGUAGCUUCAAGACCCAAGAAGAGCCAGUAUUUUUUUUUUUUUUCACAUCCGAAGGCAGGGAAAUGCUGGCAUUUCAGCUUACAGCAGUCAAGCAGGAGGAGUUCCCUCUUAUGAACAAGGUCACCCUUUCUGUUCUGCGUGUCUUCAGCUGUUUGGAUGAGGCCCACCCACAUUAGGGAAAACAAUCUGCUUUUCUCAGUCUACCAAUUAAAACAUUAUUCUCAUCCACAAACAUCCUCACAGACACACCUAAAAUGAUGUUUGAACAAAUAUUUGAGCACCUUGUGACCCAACCACAUUGAAACAUAAAAUUAAUCAUCACAGAAACUUUUAUUAAGGAGAUCAGAGGUACCUUCCAUGAUAGGAUCAAAUUUGAACAAAUACUGGAAUAAAUGAGAGAAGGAGCCAUGUAUAUAUCCAGGGAAAAUUUUCUAGGUAGAAGAGAGAGCAACUACAAGGCUCUAAGUUGGGAGAGUUUUGAAGUAUUAGAGGAGGAGCAACAGCAAAGUUAGCAUAACUAGACUGUAACCAAAAGUAGUGAGAGAAAUAAGAGGUAAGGUGGAGUGAUGAGGUAAAGAAGUAGUGGAAGGGAAAGACUGGGGCCCUUUAGCCAAUUGUAAAGAUGUUGAUGUAGUUUCCAGUAAGAUGGGAAAGCAGAGUUUGAAGCAGUGGAAUGAUGUGAUCAGACUUACUUUUUGAAAAAGAUCAAAGCCAAAGAAUAGAGUAUUUGUAGAUAAGAGUAAAUGUUGGGUGACCAGUGAGGAGGUUAUUAUGGUAAUAAGUGAGAAAUGAUGGUGGCUUGGAAGCAGUGGAGAUUAUGAGAAGUGGUAGGUUUCUGGCUAAGUUUCUAAGAGCCAUCAUAUUUUCUUUUUGAAGAGUAUAAGGAAUCAGAUAACACCAAGGUUUUGGGCUUAAGCAACUGGGUUAAUAGAGGUGCCAGAGAGUUGAGAAUGCUGAGGGAGAACGUAGCUUGAGAAAGAGUUGGGAAUUUUGGUAUCUCGCAGCAAGCUUGAGAUGCCUAUGAAUACAAUUGUGUCUGCAUACUCAGUAUUAAUCUUGAAUUCAGGAAGGAUUGAUCGAGCCUAGAUAUUCAAGUUUAGUCUUAACAUUGGAUGAGAACAAUUUAAGAGUACAGGUAGACAAAAUAAUUAGGCUGUUAUUUUAAAAAGUAUUUGAAAGCCAGCUAUUGCAGGGAGGAAAUGAUUUGCCAAAGUAUUAUAAUAAAUAGCUGUAGUUGUGGAAUUUUAGACCCCUGUAAGGAAAAAUGUAUUCUCAUUUCUGUAAAAGUGUGAAGGGCAGAGUUUCCUUAAGUCUACUUUCAGCCCCAUGUAUGUCUGUAAUGCUGAAUGCCUACAACAAUAAUCACAGCUAAUAUUUACAGAUCUGUUAAUAUGUAUCAGGCACAGGACCUAAAUAUUACUUACAUAUACUAAUUUACUUAAAUGUCAUAGCAGCCCUAUGAAGUAGGUAAUGUUAUCACCAUUUUGCAUGAAAAAUGGAAUAAUUUGCACAAUAAUCAAACAUUAUAAAUGUAUUUUAUAAUUUUCAAAUAUAUAUUUUUUAUUCUCAACAGUCUUGUGAGAUGGAUAGGGAAGGUAGUAGUACAAUUUUAUAGAUAAGAUCAAUGAGUGACAAUGAGGUUGUGUUAUAUCCAAAGUCACAAAGCUAGUGAAGAGUGUAGCUGGAACUCACACCCAAUUCUACUUAUUUCAAGCCAACUCUGUUUAAUUUGCACUGUCCAAUAGAAUUUCCUGUGAUGAUAGAAAUGUUCUAUAUCUGUUCUCUUCAAUAUGGUAGUCACUCAACACGUGGCUAUGGAAUACUUGAAAUGUGGCUAGUGAAACUAAGCAACUGCUUGUUUGUCAUUAAAUUUGAAUGUAUAUAUAGCCAUUGUGACAAGUAAAUAAUAUAUUGGACCAUACAGCUUAAAAAUAUUUAUAAAUCAUUAACAAAGUAAGAUUAUAGGAAAUAUUACUAGGGUAUCCCUUUAUCACUACAUCAAAGAUGGACCCUGAUGACUUUUUCCAUCUGUAUCAAAAAUGGUUAAUCUUAUAUUGUACUAUUUCAAAAUAUAGAAAAAGAUGGUAUACUCUCCAGUUUGAUGAGAUAAAAUAAAGUCUUUAUCCUGAAACCCCAAAAUAACUUCAUAACAAAUUAAAAUUUCAGGCUGAUCAUAAUUUAUGAAUAUUAGCCAUUCUUGGCAAACCACAUAUUGAAAGGAUUCAACACAAUCAUCAAAUAAAAUUAUCAGCUUGAAAUUAUUACAACAGAAUGGUUAUUUGAAUACACAAAAUAAUCUUUGGUAUAUAGAAAAAAAAUUUAAAACUAAAAGUACAAUAUAUGAUAUACACAGAAUUUAUAUAAACCACCAAUGUUUACUCUAGCCCUAUUAAGCAUUUGCAUGGCCUCCUCCCCUCAAGUUUAGAAUGGUUCUAGCAACUUUCUUUUAACAAAUACAAUUUGGCAAAAAUUACAGGAUGUUACUUCUGAGAUUAAGAUACAAAAACUAACUUCUGCCUUGUUCUCUUUCUCACAUGUUUAUACUGAAGAACUGAGGGUGACUUCUGGUCAACAGCUAGGAAGAACCUGAGACCUCACAAAGUUGUCAAGUCCUUCCAACAACCACAUGAGUGAGCUUGGAAGCAGAUCCUUUCUUAGCAUAGCUUUCAAAUGAAACUACAGCCCCAGCCAACAUCAUGAUUUCCAGCUUAUAAGAUACCUAAAGGCAGAGACAUUCAGCUAAGCCAUAAUUAGUUUCUUUACCUACAGAAACUGUGAGAUAAUAAAUACUUAUUGUUUUAAGCCCUUAAGUUUUAGUGUAACUUUUAUUCAGCAAUAAAUAAUGAAUAUUUAUUUAUUUAUUUAUUUUUUAAAUACACGACAACAGUGG